UAGAAGUUUUUCAGUUAAAUGGUACUACAUAUACAUAGACAGUUCCUUUCGAAAUAAGUAUUGGUUUUAAUAGUCAGGGUUGAGGGUUCCAACAUUAAACAUGGAGUUGUAACUUAUACAAAGAAGGGGAAUUCAAAUGGUUAAUUGAAACAACUAUUGUGAUGGUUCUUACAAAUGCUAACACAAUAUGAUUUUUGUCCUUCUAACUGUUAAAAUGAAUAAAUUUGAUGAACCGUGCGUAAACGGCAGGAGUAACUAUAAACGAUUUAUAAGAUAACCAAAUACCUUAUCUAAUUUGUGACACGUAUGAAUAGAUUAACAAGACUCUCAUUGUCACUGAUUACUAUCUAACGAAACCAACGGCGGAAGAAAUAGCCGC
rfam:Oryza nivara chromosome 6, whole genome shotgun sequence.